GAAGAAAAGUGGAGCAGAAGCACAUGGCCUGGAGAAACCGCAAGUUCUAUGGGGUCUCAUAGAUGUGGAAGAUGAUAGUGUAGUGGUAGAUCUGCCCAAUCUAGGCACACAACAUAUAUUCAUAUUAAUUGUGUUGUGUUUUCAUUGCCCGGGCAUAUUUGGGUUGGAGAUUUACCGCAACACCCUUUUGACCUUGUUCAGUAUGUUGUAAUGCCAAUUCUCCAGAACAACUUAUUUUCUAUACCUCAGUGUCUAAGGCAGUACCUUCCCUGCCCAUCACAUUAUGAACCCCUCCGUUGAUUCAUCCAAUGAAGAAGUCACAGUUCCCAGGGGUCAAUUCCUUCCUCAAUCCUCCCUUCUGAAUGCUGAACUGGGUUAUGACUAGAAGCUGUUGGAGCUGUUGGAAGGGCUGAGAUUGCCAGGGUGCAGAAGAGAGUCAGUCACCAUUUUCAGUUCAAAAUCCUGGUUGCUAGAGCAAGACUCACAAAGCUCCAAGUGCUCCGGGUUCCUGGGGGUCCCCAGACCACACCGGGACUUCCUACCUCAGAAUCAUCAUCAGAUGGGAAGUCAAGUUGGAAUUUCUGACAGAGGAACUCAGAAACAGAGACCACUGUUGACUUCAUAAAACUGAUAGGCCUGUUAUGUUUUCUUUGUAUUUUACCAUUUUCUCUGGAUGUCCUCUGUGCUGCAUAACUUUUUUUGUCAACGUGACACAAUUCCGUGUUCUCUAAGAAGAGGAGACAUCAGUUGAGAAAAUGCCUCCAUCAGAUUGGCCUGUGGGCAAGUUUUGGGGAACAUUUCCUUGAUGAACACUUGAUGUAGAAGGGUCCAGAUCACCGUAGGUAUUGUCACCUUGUGUAGGCUAUUCUGGGUCGUAUAAGAAGGCAAGUUGAUGAGCAAGCAAUGGGGAGCAGGCCAGUGAGCAGCACUCCUUCAUGACCUCUGCUUCAGCUCUUGUGUCCAGGUUCCUGCUUCUGAGUUCCUGCCUUGACUUUCCUCAGUAGUGCACUGUGAUGUAUAAGUAUAAGCCAAAUAACCUCUGCUUUCCUCAGCUGCUUUUCGGCAUGGUGUUGACCAUAUCAUCAAAAAGCAAACGAAUGCGUCCCCCAAGCUUGAAAAUCCUGUAACUUCUGUCACUCUCCUUCAACUGAGGUGACAGAAGAGUCUUUGGAACUAAUAUUUCAUAUCUUCCCUAUGGCCUACCCAGAUCAACCAACUAGUUCAUGAAGUUCAAUGUUUAUUUCCUUCCUUAAAUCCACUUCAGUUUCUAUCCAGGGAUUUCCAGUACCAGAACUGUCCCUCUAGAUCUUUUCUGCCAUCCCACCUCCAUCUCUACCCUCCCCUUGGAUGCUUGUUACAUCUCUCUAGUGGAAGUCCACAAAUCAACUUCUCCUAGCAACAAACUCACUGAAUACAUUGCUGUACCCAGGAUCACAGCCACAUAUGAAGAGUAUGUGAAGGUCCAUCACUUCCCCUUGGAAACUGUCACAAGGCUCUGCCAUGAGAUGUGUUCAGCUUGCUGAGUUCUUUCUACUCAAGAUCAGUUGCCUCUGCAACAUACUGUCUAGUUUUGCCUAAACCAAAGAAGAUGUAGCAUUCCAAGUCAAAAUUACAAUUUGUCCUUGAGAUAUGCUACUGAUAGUUUUAAAUGAAAAAUUAUUUUAAUAUUCUUUCAUUUUCUGACUUGAAGAACUGUACUUCUUAUAGAACAUGAUUUUUGUGUAUGUAGUAUUUUAAUAUUUAUACAGUUCUACUUAUAAUUAUCAUUUUCUAUUACUGAAAUAUAUUCUCACACACUGAGAAUUUUAUUCAUGC
rnacentral:lncRNA from 1 species